rnacentral:tRNA from 1 species
GUGGUGUAGCUCAGUGGUAGAAUACAUUCUUAGCAUGUAUGAAGCCCUGGGUUCAAUCCCCAGCACACACA